AACCUCCGCAAUGUACGAAAGUGCGACGGGGGGAUCCCAAGUGUUAUGCUUAAAGGUAUGACUUUUCAUUAGUGUAAAAAGCUUUUAGAAUAAGAGCUGGGCAAGACCGGUGCCAGCCGCCGCGGUAACACCGGCAGCUCGAGUGGUAGCUGUUUUUAUUGGGCCUAAAGCGUUCGUAGCCGGUUUAAUAAGUCUUUGGUGAAAGCUUGUAGCUUAACUAUAAGAAUUGCUGGAGAUACUAUUAGGACUUGAAGUCGGGAGAGGUUAGAGGUACUACCGGGGUAGGGGUGAAAUCCUAUAAUCCUGGGAGGACCACCUGUGGCGAAGGCGUCUAACUGGAACGAUCUUGACGGUGAGUAACGAAAGCCAGGGGCGCGAACCGGAUUAGAUACCCGGGUAGUCCUGGCCGUAAACGAUGUGGACUUGGUGUUGGAAUGGCUUUGAGUUGUUCCGGUGCCGAAGGGAAGCUGUUAAGUCCACCGCCUGGGAAGUACGGUCGCAAGACUGAAACUAAAGGAAUU
rnacentral:rRNA from 1 species